UUGACUGGGGCGGUACACCUGUCAAAGCGUAACACACAUGUCCUAAGGCGAGCUCAGGGAGGCCAGAAACCUCCCGUGGAGCAGAAAGGCAAAAGCUUGCUUGAUCUUGACUUUCAGUACGAAUACAGACCAUGAAAGCGGGGCCUCAUGAUCCUUCUGACUUUUACAACACAAUUAGGAG
rnacentral:ncRNA from 1 species